ACAGUAGCAACUGUAGGGAGCUAGGGAGCGCACAGCUGCUGCGGCCGCAGGUUCCCUGGAUCAGGAAAUUAGGACAGGCACCCGGGAUUGGAGGUGAGGACGGUGCGCGAGCCAACCAGCGGCCGCCCCGGGUCCCCCGUGAGCCCCGGGCCAACGCGCGGAGCAGUCGAGCCCCUGGAGCCAUCCGGAUGGCGGCGGCGACAGCCCCAGCCCCAGCCACUCACGCACGCACGCUGCCACUUGCCCCCGCACCCUCCUCACUGCGCGCGGGAGAGCGGUGCGUGCCUGAGCUGCUGGGCUGAGCUCCCCCGCUGGGGUCCCCGCGCCGCUCGGCCGCGCUCCUGCGGCCGCCCGGGUGGUUGCCCCCAAACCGCUCACUUGAGCUGUCCUCGGUGGCGAACGGGCUCCCCGCCCCCUCCUCCCGCGCCGUUCCCUCCCCUCUCCCUCCCCUUCUCUGCAACGCCUGCAUUAUUUUCCGCCCGCAGGGUCCGCGCGCACACCGCGGCCGCGGCGGGGGAGGUGACCGGGUGGGUGGUUGGGUGGGUGGCUGGCGGGGAGUAGAGUGUGCAAGUUGCAGGGAAAGGGUGCCCGCUCCUUGCGUGCUCUCCGUGCUCCCGGCUCUUCACUCCUUCCCCCUCCUCCUCGUCUCCUCCCUCCCCGCCCCCACCUCCUUCUUCCUCUCCGAAGGGCUGGUAACUUGUUGUGCGGAGCGAACGGCGACAACGACGGCGCGACGGAGGCACCAUCCGGGCGGGCAGCAUGGGCACGUCCGCGCGCUGGGCGCUGUGGCUGCUGCUCGCGCUGUGCUGGGCGCCCCGGGACAGCGGCGCCACUGCAAGCGGUGAGUGGGGACGCGCCCCUCCGCACUCGGCCCGAAACAAGCCGAGGCGUCCGCGAUCGCCGCGUUCUGGGGGACCCCGGGGCUCCUCUUGCCCAUCCCCUCCUAGCAGGCGCCUCUCCACGCUCCUCUCCUGCCUCCCCUCCCCACCCGGGUGGCGCCUCUGAGCUGUCAGAGCCGAGGUUACUGGGAGCCAGGCCCGGGGGACGGUGGGGUUUAGGGUGUCCUAAAGCGUCCCUUGAACUUGUUGUCAUUCUUCUGUGUCCCCCUUCUUCCCAGAACCUCUGUUUUACAUGGUUUUCACCCCCCAUUGACAAGGGCUAGGGGAUGUGGGCUUUGGAGCCACUGAACAAUGGUUCUGCCUCCUCUGCCAGGCGGGCUGUUAGGACCGUGGCAGAGCACGGGGCCUGGAAGCCCGAGUGCGCCCCUCAGACUUAAGCAGGGUUGAGAGCGCACAGUGGGUGAAGGUGGGCGUCUCCGAGGACACCGGGCGCCAGGUGCCGGCCGAGCCGGGAGUCCUCGCGCUGCCGUGAGCAAGCGCACGUUCGGUGGGCGGCAGCCUGGAGGCCGAGCCAUGACAAGUACGCAGCCUGCGCCCGGGACUGAGACUCCCCAGGCGCCGGGCCGUCUCUCGGGCUCCAAGAGUGGCUUUCAACUGGACUGUCCUCCGAGUGCUUUUCUUUCUCCCAUCCCCGGGGAUUCCGCAGCUACUGCGGCUUUUAAAAACCUCUGGGGUCUCUGAGAUAACUGAACGGGGGAGGGGAGUGGGAUCAAGACUUAAUCAGGUUACUUUGCCGAGCCUCAUUCUGGGCAACACUUUCCCCCAGAGAAACUGAGUCCCAGUGUAGUGACUGUAAUUAGCCUUUAUUCUGCACAAUACGGCCCGAAGGUGUGGAGCUGGAGCGUGUGACUGGAGCUUGGGGAGGGCGGGGUGACUACUGUCGAGUCCCAGGGGGUCGGCACACUGGCUUUGGAGCCCUGUGUGUUUCCAGCACCCCAUCUUGGGUCACACAACUUUCCAGAGCAGGUGAUAAGAUGCCUUCCUAACAAGGUCCGCGUCUGAUCCUUGGCGGGCCACUGAAGAGGUCUUAGAGGUCUUAAGAGGUGACACCAAAGUGCUUGCUUGCCAACCAGCUCUAGGUAAUUAGGGCAGAACGCUGUCCCAGCUCUAAAUAGUCCACAAUCCACAUCUCCUGUCGCCGGGUAGCUUAGAAGGCCCGCCUGCGUGCGGUCACGUGUGUCCUGGAGUGAGAGCGAACUUUCAAGUGUGUGGUCAAGCUGUCUGUCGAGCUAUGCUGGGGUGUUUAAGUCUCCCAGCGCCCCUGGGCCUUUGGUUCCGCUGUCCGGAGCGUGAGAAGCUGGGCAGGGCUUUUCUGCCCCAUGCGAUUGGCUGGUAGCUGGAUUGCGUUUAGCUUGGUCACGUGUCUACGCGGAGUUAAUUGAGCUGCCCCAGCUGGGUUACCUUUAAGAUCAGCCAGGCUCAGAGGGGCCUUUCCCUCUGGCGCUUUCUCCAGCUGCACUCUGAAAAGGGCCCAGGUAUCGUGACGCUAGAAUCCUUCCUGUGACAAACCUCUGUGCCCAGAGAAGCCCUGCUUAACAGAACAUUUCAGACGCUGACAUUAAUCAUUAAUGGAUGAGUAAUGUUAACUUAUUAAACCAUCUCUCAGAAGAGUGACUUGACUCGGGCUAUAUAUUUUGUAGUAUUUCAAAACACGAAUGCAUAAAAUCCAUUACUGACUGUGAUCCGGGGAGUUGGGAGAAAGGAGUCUCCUUAGCUGCAGAACCUUUUGGAUUCUUGGAAUGUUUAAAGUGCUAACUUUCCAUCAGGUGCUGUUUUUUACGGAGUGGUCGGAAAGCAUCCAGACUGCUUCAAGGAGCUAGUCCAACACCAGAAGUUGUUGAGCUGGGAUCAGGAAAGUGGGGAUAGCCUUUGUUUCUCCUUUACUGCAAGUGGGCUAUGGUGGUGCUGUAAAAAGUGGAAGAGAGAACCAGGCACAAACCUAAGCAGCCAGAGUGGGAGAGGCAGUUCUUUCUGAACUACAGCAGACUUGGAGUUGGUUGACCAUAAGUGAACCCACAGUAGUGUCCUAAGUUCAAAGUCCCAAAACAUGCAGACUGAUUUUUCUGCCCCAGACCUUCUGUGAUUACUCUUUCUCUCCAACCCUUCCCUCUGCCCCCCACCAACACACACACACACACACACACACACACACACACACUAAACUGCCUGACACAGGGGAGGCAUGUGUGUAUAGAGUUUCUGCAAGGAAUUGAAGUGAAGGGACACUAACAAACGAGAGAUCGCAAGGACUGAUGGCAGAACACAUGGGGGUUCUAGGACUCUUGCCUCAUAUAGAUUAAGCCUAGGUAUAGAUUAAGAUACGGUGUGUUGUACAGUCUUCAAAGCCAGAGUUCUGCAAGAGCUCUUCCAAUCUGACCAGUGACUCUCACUUCUCUUCCCCUGGGACUGAGAAAUACCAGAGUAUCUGCAGGUAGGAAUCUGAAAGACCAGGAGAGAUAAUUCCUGGCUUACCAGAGCAUCAAGAAAAGGCAGAGACCGUAGCAAUCCAUGCAGAUGAAGGCUUUCUUUUUAAAAAGAGAGUCACAACCCAAGCUUCAUGGGCAGCGCAUUUCCCAAAGCCCGAAGCAGCUUUUUGCCCAGGUUCAUUCUCUUACCAGUACCUCUAGUGCUGUGUCAUCUCUACACAAUUCUGCUUUUAAUGCUUGAGUCUCUAGAGACCUACACUGUGUAUAUAAAGUUCAAGUUCAGUAGAGCCAACAUAGGUUAAGACUUCAGGCUGACCAACUGCACUUGUAAACCUGUGUAAAGGUGGCUCCCUCCAUCUUCUAAACAGUGGCAAACCUGAUCAUCAGAUUCCUGCUUCCUAAAAUAUGAGUAACCUCAGACAGGACUUCCCGGUAGAACUUCUUGUGAAGGUUCUAGAAGAGCUAAAGAGCUGUUGUGACCCCUUUCUGUUCCCUGGACAGUGUCAGAACCAUAAAACGUGUGCCUUAAGAUGAAGAGCACAGACAGGGCCCCAGGCAUAUGGCUUCAGGUUUAGAUCCCCAAACCCUGACAGUUACCAAAUGGCAUAGAAAG
rnacentral:lncRNA from 1 species